rnacentral:ribozyme from 14 species
CAAACAAAAAAAAAGGAAAAAAAAAAAAAUACCUACUACACUGCUACUACAACGACUUCUUCUCUUCUUCUCUCUCUCUCUCUCUCUUUUCUUUCACCGAUUGAGGGAUGGGGACGAUGUCAUCAUUGGAAAAAAACACACACACACAUUGUUGUUAUAUUUUAUUUUUUAGAUUGGAAAAAAUAUAAUAUAUAUAUUAUAAAACGAACUUCCUUCUUGAAGUCAUCAUUUCUUUUUUCUUCCACACCCACUCA